rnacentral:rRNA from 1 species
CCUACGGGUGGCUGCAGUGGGGAAUAUUGGACAAUGGGCGAAAGCCUGAUCCAGCCAUGCCGCGUGUGUGAAGAAGGCCUUCGGGUUGUAAAGCACUUUCAGUGGGGAAGAAAGCCUUGGGGCUAAUACCCUCGAGGAAGGACAUCACCCACAGAAGAAGCACCGGCUAACUCCGUGCCAGCAGCCGCGGUAAUACGGAGGGUGCGAGCGUUAAUCGGAAUUACUGGGCGUAAAGCGCGCGUAGGCGGUCUGAUAAGCCGGUUGUGAAAGCCCCGGGCUCAACCUGGGAACGGCAUCCGGAACUGUCAGGCUAGAGUGCAGGAGAGGAAGGUAGAAUUCCCGGUGUAGCGGUGAAAUGCGUAGAGAUCGGGAGGAAUACCAGUGGCGAAGGCGGCCUUCUGGACUGACACUGACGCUGAGGUGCGAAAGCGUGGGUAGCAAACAGGAUUAGAUACCCCAGUCGUC